UACAGAGGAGCCAAGCGUUGUCCGGAUUGACUGGGCGUAAAGCGCACGCAGGCGGUUGCGCGCGUGGGGUGUGAAAUCUGGCCGCUUAACGGCCAGGCGCCAUCCCAUACGGCGCGACUGGAGUGAUGCAGAGGUCGAUGGAAUUGCCGGUGUAGUGGUGAAAUGCGCAGAUAUCGGGAAGAACACCCGUGGCGAAGGCGGCUCUCUGGGACGGUACUGACGCUGAGACGCGAAAGCGUGGGGAGCGAACAGG
rnacentral:rRNA from 1 species